rnacentral:rRNA from 1 species
UACGAAGGGGGCUAGCGUUGCUCGGAAUCACUGGGCGUAAAGGGCGCGUAGGCGGAUCUUUAAGUCAGGGGUGAAAGCCUGAGGCUCAACCUCAGAAUUGCCUUUGAUACUGAAGAUCUUGAGACCGGAAGAGGUAAGUGGAACUGCGAGUGUAGAGGUGAAAUUCGUAGAUAUUCGCAAGAACACCAGUGGCGAAGGCGGCUCUCUGGAACGGUACUGACGCUGAGACGCGAAAGCGUGGGGAGCGAACAGG